GACGAACGCUGGCGGCGUGCCUAAUACAUGCAAGUAGAACGCUGAAGGAGGAGCUUGCUUCUCUGGAUGAGUUGCGAACGGGUGAGUAACGCGUAGGUAACCUGCCUGGUAGCGGGGGAUAACUAUUGGAAACGAUAGCUAAUACCGCAUAAGAGUAGAUGUUGCAUGACAUUUGCUUAAAAGGUGCAAUUGCAUCACUACCAGAUGGUCCUGCGUUGUAUUAGCUAGUUGGUGGGGUAACGGCUCACCAAGGCGACGAUACAUAGCCGACCUGAGAGGGUGAUCGGCCACACUGGGACUGAGACACGGCCCAGACUCCUACGGGAGGCAGCAGUAGGGAAUCUUCGGCAAUGGACGGAAGUCUGACCGAGCAACGCCGCGUGAGUGAAGAAGGUUUUCGGAUCGUAAAGCUCUGUUGUAAGAGAAGAACGAGUGUGAGAGUGGAAAGUUCACACUGUGACGGUAUCUUACCAGAAAGGGACGGCUAACUACGUG
rnacentral:rRNA from 1 species